rnacentral:rRNA from 1 species
UGCAGUCGAACGAUGANGCAACUAGCUUGCUAGUUGUGGAUUAGUGGCGCACGGGUGAGUAAGGUAUAGUUAAUCUGCCCUACACAAGAGGACAACAGUUGGAAACGACUGCUAAUACUCUAUACUCCUGCUUAACAUAAGUUGAGUAGGGAAAGUUUUUCGGUGUAGGAUGAGACUAUAUAGUAUCAGCUAGUUGGUGAGGUAAUGGCUCACCAAGGCUAUGACGCUUAACUGGUCUGAGAGGAUGAUCAGUCACACUGGAACUGAGACACGGUCCAGACUCCUACGGGAGGCAGCAGUAGGGAAUAUUGCGCAAUGGGGGAAACCCUGACGCAGCAACGCCGCGUGGAGGAUGACACUUUUCGGAGCGUAAACUCCUUUUCUUAGGGAAGAAUUCUGACGGUACCUAAGGAAUAAGCACCGGCUAACUCCGUGCCAGCAGCCGCGGUAAUACGGAGGGUGCAAGCGUUACUCGGAAUCACUGGGCGUAAAGGGCGCGUAGGCGGAUUAUCAAGUCUCUUGUGAAAUCCAACGGCUUAACCGUUGAACUGCUUGGGAAACUGGUAAUCUAGAGUGGGGGAGAGGCAGAUGGAAUUGGUGGUGUAGGGGUAAAAUCCGUAGAUAUCACCAAGAAUACCCAUUGCGAAGGCGAUCUGCUGGAACUUAACUGACGCUAAGGCGCGAAAGCGUGGGGAGCAANCAGGAUUANAUACCCUGGUANUCCACGCCCUAA